UGAUCAGACGGGGCCACCUUACUGAA
rnacentral:piRNA from 1 species